UACGUAGGUGGCAAGCGUUGUCCGGAUUUAUUGGGUUUAAAGGGUGCGUAGGCGGCUUUGUAAGUCAGUGGUGAAAUAUGGCAGCUCAACUGUCAAGGUGCCAUUGAUACUGCAGAGCUUGAGUACAGAUGAGGUAGGCGGAAUUGACGGUGUAGCGGUGAAAUGCUUAGAUAUCGUCAAGAACACCUAUAGCGAAGGCAGCUUACUAGGCUGUAACUGACGCUGAGGCACGAAAGUGUGGGGAUC
rnacentral:rRNA from 1 species